AUUGAACGCUGGUGGCAUGCUUAACACAUGCAAGUCGAACGGUAACAGAGCUAGCUUGCUAGCUGCUGACGAGUGGCGGACGGGUGAGUAACGCGUAGGAAUCUACCUACUGGAGGGGGAUACCAUCUGGAAACGGAUGCUAAUACCGCAUAAUACCUAAGGGUUAAAGGUGGCCUUUGUGCUGCCGCCAGCUGAUGAGCCUGCGUUGGAUUAGCUAGUUGGUGAGGUAAGGGCUCACCAAGGCUACGAUCCAUAGCUGAUUUGAGAGGAUGAUCAGCCACAUUGGGACUGAGACACGGCCCAAACUCCUACGGGAGGCAGCAGUGGGGAAUAUUGGACAAUGGGGGAAACCCUGAUCCAGCAAUGCCAUGUGUGUGAAGAAGGCCUUAGGGUUGUAAAGCACUUUAGUUGGGGAGGAAGUUGAUUGAGUUAAUAGCUUAAUUGAUUGACGUUACCCAAAGAAUAAGCACCGGCUAACUCCGUGCCAG
rnacentral:rRNA from 1 species